CUACGGGAGACAGCAGUGAGGAAUAUUGGUCAAUGGGCGGGAGCCUGAACCAGCCAAGCCGCGUGAGGGAAGAAGGUACAGCGUAUCGUAAACCUCUUUUGUCAGGGAACAAAGGCGGGGACUAGUCCCCGGAUGAGGGUACCUGAAGAAAAAGCAUCGGCUAACUCCGUGCCAGCAGCCGCGGUAAUACGGAGGAUGCGAGCGUUAUCCGGAUUUAUUGGGUUUAAAGGGUGCGCAGGCGGCCUGUUAAGUCAGCGGUAAAAGCCCGGGGCUCAACCCCGGCGAGCCGUUGAAACUGGCGGGCG
rnacentral:rRNA from 1 species